GGGGCAGUCCAGUCUAGACUGAGGGCAGGUAGAGAAAGAUACUGAAGAGCAGGAGAGGGGAGACAAGAGAGCACUUUCCUGAGUCCGGCCCUGACGGGCAUGUGUGCCCUCCCUGGCCAUGAAGAGGACUUUAUCUUUCGAUGGAGAGUAGAUUGGACAGGGCAAAGAGCUGACUUGAGAUUCAGGUUUCCGGGAAUGGACCAACAGAAACCAUAGGCCCCUCAGGUCUUACCCUGGUAGAAGGUAGAGUCCUCUCAGGUCAACUUCCUCAACGCUCCAGACCUGCCCUAUUGAUUAGCUGGAGUGAGGCCACAUCAUAGGACCUACUGCCUCCAUUAUGUCCUCUGUGUUUGUUGUUUUUUGAGACAAGGUUUCUCUGUGUAGCCUUGGAUGAUAAGGAACUAACUCUGUAGACUAGGCUGGCCUCAAACUCACAGAGAUCCACCUGCCUCUGCCUCCCAAGUGCUGGGAUUAAAGGUGUGCACCACUAUCACCCAGUCAAUUAUGUCCUCUGAAGGAAUAUAAGGAGAACCCAGCUAGGUUUAGGAGGAGUGUGGUGUGACAUUUGUCAUUCAUGUCUACUGUGUACAAGGGAUGUGGGUGUCCCACUGCGAGAGGCCCGGGACCCUGCUAUUUGCUCUUGGUGCCUUCUAUGACCUCUAGUUAAGAGAAUUUUUUGGAGAUUCAGUAAGAGUUGAGUGGCUGUCUAGGCAAACCUUGAAUUCUUGACCUUCCUGCCUCCACCUCCCAAGAGCUGGGAUUACAGUUGUGUGCCACCAUACCUGACUAUACUGAAAAGGGACACACUGAGUGGCUCUUUCCCUUUGCCAAGAGGUCUGAUGACAUACACAUGGCACAGCUGUUAAAUGCCUUACCUACCCAGAUCUGGGCAGCAACAUUGCUCAACAGUUUCUCUGGAUUGGGGCAAUCCUAUUCCCUCCCCCUCUCUAGAGUUCUGGUUUUCACAAACACACCCAGAUACAGCCCAGGGCCUUUAGAUGGGAAGGACCUCCCACCGACAAAGGUCUUCAAGCUGCUCCUAGCCGGAGCCAUCGGCCUGACGCGCUCCACUCCUGCAGGAGGGAAACAUCUGGGGCUCCAUGAGGAGGACGGCUCUCAUCCUGGGCUCUGGGCUGCUCUUGUCUGUAGCCUUCUGGAACUCAGUCACAUGGCAUCUUCAGAGAUUUUGGGGUGCUUCUGGCUACUUUUGGCAGACCCAGUGGGAAAAACUGCUGUCCACAUUUGAAGGCAACGAGUGGCUCUUAUUCUUUAUAGGUGAGGUCGCAGCCAGACGGCUGUGCGUGUUGUACUCCACUCUUGUUCUUUCCCACACUGCUCUAUUAUCAUUUAUUGCUACUGUUAUAUUAUUAUCAUAGUUACUUCACCUGCAUGCGGAAGUCAGAGGACAACUUGCAGGAGUUGGUUCUCGCCUUCUACCAUGUGGUCCUGGGAGUUGAACUCAGGUUGUCAGGUUUGCCGCAAGCGCCUUGACCUGCUGCUCUAUCUUACAGGCCCCGUCUGGAAA